UCAGGAUGAACGCUGGCAGUGUGCCUGAGAUAUGCAAGUCGAGCGGGAUUUGUGUGGUGCACAAGAAUGUCCAAUUACAGAAUAUCCAAUUUCAAAAUAAAAUGUUCAAUGUCAAAAUGUUAAAACCUUUUAGACAUUCGUUCAUUCUGACAUUUUAUUUGACAUUUGGAAUUUGAAAUUUUGGAAUUCUCGUGCACUGCACGAGUUCAGCGGCGGACGGCUGAGUAACGCGUAAGAAUCUCCCCCAAAGUCUCACAUAGCUCACCGAAAGGUGGGGUAAUUUGAGAUAGUCUCUCCGAUUUUUGAUCGGGGUGUAAAGCGAGCAAUCACGCUUUGGGAUGAGCUUGCGUCCUAUCAGGUAGUUGGUGAGGUAAUGGCUCACCAAGCCUACGACGGGUAGCUGGCCUCAUGAGGGUGGUCAGCCAGAAGGGGACUGAGAUACGGCCCCUACUCCUACGGGAGGCAGCAAUCAGGAAUAGUCGGCAAUGGGCGAAAGCCUGACCGCGCGACACUGCGUGUGCGAUGAAGGUCCACAAGAUCGUAAAGCACUGUGAUAGGGGAAGAGAAUGGACGGUACCCUAUUAGAAAGUAGCCGCUAACUACGUGCCAGAAGCGUCGGUAAUACGUAGGCUACGAGCGUUAUCCGGUGUUAUUGGGCAUAAAGGGUCGUGUAGGUGGUCAGAUAAGUCGCUUUUUAAAUCUCUGGGCUCAACUCAGAACAUUGAAGCGAGACUGUUUGUCUAGAAGUUGCUUAAGGGAGAACAGAACCGUGGGAGGAGUAGUGAAAUGCGUUGAUACCCACGGGAAUACCAGUGGCGAAGGCGGUUCUCUAGAAGCAUCUUGACGCUGAGACACGAAAGUUAGGGGAGCGAAGCAGAUUAGAGACCUGCGUAGUCCUAACUAUAAACGCAUGUACGCUAGCUGCAUUCUUUCCCGAUUUCGAUCGGGAUCGGGU
rnacentral:rRNA from 1 species